GACGAACGCUGGCGGCGUGCCUAAUACAUGCAAGUAGAACGCUGAAGAGAGGAGCUUGCUCUUCUUGGAUGAGUUGCGAACGGGUGAGUAACGCGUAGGUAACCUGCCUUGUAGCGGGGGAUAACUAUUGGAAACGAUAGCUAAUACCGCAUAACAAUGGAUGACACAUGUCAUUUAUUUGAAAGGGGCAAUUGCUCCACUACAAGAUGGACCUGCGUUGUAUUAGCUAGUAGGUGAGGUAACGGCUCACCUAGGCGACGAUACAUAGCCGACCUGAGAGGGUGAUCGGCCACACUGGGACUGAGACACGGCCCAGACUCCUACGGGAGGCAGCAGUAGGGAAUCUUCGGCAAUGGGGGCAACCCUGACCGAGCAACGCCGCGUGAGUGAAG
rnacentral:rRNA from 1 species